rnacentral:rRNA from 1 species
UACGUAGGUGGCAAGCGUUGUCCGGAUUUAUUGGGUUUAAAGGGUGCGUAGGCGGUCUAUUAAGUCAGUGCUGAAAUAUCCCGGCUUAACCGGGAGGGUGGCAUUGAUACUGAUGGACUUGAGUGCAGUCGAGGUAGGCGGAAUUGACGGUGUAGCGGUGAAAUGCUUAGAUAUCGUCAAGAACACCGAUAGUGAAGACAGCUUACUAGACUGUAACUGACGCUGAGGCACGAAAGUGUGGGGAUCAAACAGGAUUAGAACCCCGGUAGUCC